UUCUUCCUGCCUUCUCUCAAAGGCACAACCCAAUUUUCUUUAAAGUUAUUCACCCCUAAAUUCUACAAAGCCCUGCCUCAUUUUAAGUAUGGUAGCCCCUGACUACUGAUACCCUGUCCAAGUGACGUAGGGCCCCGUAACGUAUGUCAAGGCUUUGCCUAAAUUCGUUGGGGUUCUGUCUCGUGACGUAGGGAUAAAGUAGAAUUGGGUUACUAUACUUGAUGUGGGUACACUAUAUAUUUUAUUAAAUAAUCCAGGAGUUGUACCCAAAAUAUAACAAACCUCCCGAAUAUUUUUCUGACACCCUACACUUCCUAAAAUACACCACAUAUGUGAAAACCGAGCCCGAAAUAUAAUAUAGCAUUAAAAAUAAGUGAAAAACAAGAAAUAGUAAGUUGAGGCGGGCCGCGUAGACCCACCCCAACCAUUCACGCGGGCCGUAUGAAGGUGUAACCGGAUUCCUUUGAUUUCUUAAGUCCAGGCGGGCCGCGUAAGGCCACACCGUUAGUUUACGCGGGCCGCGAGUGUCCCGAUUCGUGGCGCAGCCCGGUGAUGACACGUGUCAUCAUCGUGGCAGGUCUAGAGGAUGAGCCGGACAAGCUAGUCCGUUGACCAGGGUUGACGCGGGCCGCGUGACCCCUGUCCUUUCUUUACGCGGGCCGCGUGGGAACCAGAAUCAGCACCUAUAUAAGCAGGCAUCGGGUUUUAGUAUUCCUCGUUCAUUUCUUUUCUUUCUAAACGAAUUCUGAAGUAGUAGAAGUGAUACGCGGGUAUUAUACCCCCUAAUUAGCGAAGCUCUGCCUCGUUACUAUAACCAAGGAAUCACAAAGGAAAGCCUUAUAAUAGCAAUGUAACUUAGUGUAAAGCCAAUAGAAGCCAGCUGGAGAGCACUGAAGGCUUGGAAAAGUGGCAAUAAAGUUACCUAAAAUAAAAUAGAUGUUUUUAUUAAAUAAAAUAGGAUUUAUUCCUAUGAAAAUGUAUGUACUGAAAAACUUGGGUUUUAUCCCAUGUGUUUAAUAUAAUGAAAAGAAGGUGGUUUUACUCUGAUAAAAUAUUUCCUAACUACGGUCCUGAUGAAAAAUUCCGCUGCCAAAUAGACAAUACGCGAUACCACCGAAACUGGCUCACGGCCGCCCGCUCCUGAGGGAUCGGGGGUUGUGAAAGAAGGUGGUAUCAGAGCUAUGCCACUGGUUCAAGCCAAAGAAGUAGUAUAAGUA
rnacentral:lncRNA from 1 species